rnacentral:rRNA from 1 species
GAUGAACGCUGGCGGCGUGCCUAAUACAUGCAAGUCGAGCGAACGGACGAGAAGCUUGCUUCUCUGAUGUUAGCGGCGGACGGGUGAGUAACACGUGGAUAACCUACCUAUAAGACUGGGAUAACUUCGGGAAACCGGAGCUAAUACCAGAUAAUAUUUUGAACCGCAUGGUUCAAAAGUGAAAGACGGUGUUGCUGUCACUUAUAGAUGGAUCCGCGCUGCAUUAGCUAGUUGGUAAGGUAACGGCUUACCAAGGCAACGAUGCAUAGCCGACCUGAGAGGGUGAUCGGCCACACUGGAACUGAGACACGGUCCAGACUCCUACGGGAGGCAGCAGUAGGGAAUCUUCCGCAAUGGGCGAAAGCCUGACGGAGCAACGCCGCGUGAGUGAUGAAGGUCUUCGGAUCGUAAAACUCUGUUAUUAGGGAAGAACAUAUGUGUAAGUAACUGUGCACAUCUUGACGGUACCUAAUCAGAAAGCCACGGCUAACUACGUG